rnacentral:lncRNA from 1 species
CAUCUCUUCUCUUGCGCCACCUAAGAAACUUCAAGCCCACGCCACUAAUUUAAUUUCAAAUAUUUUUCUAUGAUAUCUCUAUUUAAGAAAUGUUAUCUUACACCAAUUAUUCUAGAGAUUUGAAUCAGAUUUGAUUUGAUUCAAUAUGAAAAGUGAUUUGGCUAAUUAUGGAAAGUGGUUUAGGUUUAUCUCCUUUGUUUGAAAGAGUCCCUCUUCACAAGGAAUCUUCUCUCCUCUCUUGUGCC